rnacentral:lncRNA from 1 species
AAAAAUAGCUUAGGUAAAAAAACAACAAAGUAGGACAAAACCAAGAAUACCACCUCCCUUUAUUAAUCGGGAAAUAGAUUUGUCUUCCACAUUACAUAUUAUUUCUUCAAACAAAAAUUCAGUUUGAUGGGAGUGGAGGAAGGGUAGCUAAAGGAGGGUUUGUCAUCGCCACUACGUGUGCAGUAUUUUUGCAUUCUCUUAUGCAUACAUCGACUGUCCAAUAGCACAAAGAAUUCACAAGGCAACAAUAGAGGUCACGCUCUUUUAUAUAGGCGCACAACCUGAUUCGUAAGUUGAUCUUGUCCAUGCCAUCCAUGAUUAUUUCACCUUUGAAAAGAAGACAAAAAAUUGACCUUAUAUUGUAUGAUUUCAGAUCGACUGAAUAGAAGCAUUAUAUGGCAGAAAACAAAGAAAGAAUGCAAUCGGGUUGCACUAUAGUAGAGACAUAUCCCUUGCAGAUCAACAACUUACAUUGUAUAGUAGUAGCAAUGCAUCCGAGAAGAAGUAGAGAUAGCAGGACCGUCCCACGGAAGGGAGGUGUGUACUUCUCCAUCUAGUUAAUAUGAUGUAAAGGUGGCAAUUGUUUCACGACAUUGACAGGAGUGUUCUAAACAAAACUGG